UCCGGUUGAUCCUGCCAGAGGCCGCUGCUAUCCGGCUGGGACUAAGCCAUGCUAGUCUAGGGGCUUGUACUCCUUCGGGGGUGCAAGCACCGGCGGACGGCUCAGUAACACGUGGACAACCUGCCCUCGGGUGGGGGAUAACCCCGGGAAACUGGGGCUAAUCCCCCAUAGGUGAUGGGUGCUGGAAUGCCCCAUCUCCGAAAGCGCUUAGCGCCCGAGGAUGGGUCUGCGGCGGAUUAGGUAGUUGGUGGGGUAACGGCCCACCAAGCCUAAGAUCCGUACGGGCUGUGGGAGCAGGAGCCCGGAGAUGGACCCUGAGACAAGGGUCCAGGCCCUACGGGGCGCAGCAGGCGCGAAACCUCCGCAAUGCGGGAAACCGCGACGGGGUUAGCCGGAGUGCCCGUGCAUUGCACGGGCUGUCGGGGUGCCUAAACAGCACCCCAUAGCAAGGGCCGGGCAAGGCCGGUGGCAGCCGCCGCGGUAAGACCGGCGGCCCGAGUGGCGGCCACUCUUAUUGGGCCUAAAGCGUCCGUAGCCGGCCCAGUAAGUCCCCCGGGAAAUCUGGUCACUUAACGAUCAGACUUCCGGGGGAUAC
rnacentral:rRNA from 1 species